AAUCUUCCUCAAUGGUCGCAAGUCUGACGGAGCAACGCCGCGCGAUUGAUGAAGGUUUUCUGUUCGUAAAACUCUGUUGUUAGGGAAGAACAAGUAUCGGCGUCACUGCCGUUACCUUGACGGUACCUUACGUUAAAGUUACGGCUCACUACGUGUCAUCAGCCGCGGUAAUACGUAGGUGGCAAGCGUUCUCCGGAAUUAUUGGUCGUAAAGAGAGGGCAGGCGGUCUAUUAAGUCUGAUGUGAAAUCUUACAGCUUAACUGUAAGCAGUCAUUGGAAGCUGGGAGACUUGAGUGCAGAAGAGGAGAGUGGAAUUCCAUGUGUAGCGGUGAAAUGCGUAGAGAUAUGGAGGAACACCAGUGGCGAAGGCGACUCUCUGGUCUGUAACUGACGCUGAGGCGCGAAAGCGUGGGGAUCAAACA
rnacentral:rRNA from 1 species